rnacentral:sRNA from 18 species
GUCCACGUUGCGGCGGACCAGAGCCAGAAGCCUCCGAGGCCAAUGGCGGCAGCCGGCCGAUAUCUCGUCGUGAUAGUGAUCAGGCCGGCUGC